GCGUCACUGGUCUAACCUGGCGAGGACACUGGCCUUCCAAGCCAGUAGUCCCGGUUCGAAUCCGGGGUGACGCA
rfam:Halorientalis sp. IM1011, complete genome.